UCCUGGUUAACCCAGGCAGUCUCGUUAGAGUUCCCACCUUCACGUGUUGGCAACUAACGAUAAGGGUUGCGCUCGUUGCGGGACUUAACCCAACACCUCACGGCACGAGCUGACGACAGCCAUGCAGCACCUGUGCAGAAGUCCCGAAGGAAAAUACCAUCUCUGAUAUCGUCUUCUGCAUGUCAAGCCUGGGUAAGGUUCUUCGCGUUGCAUCGAAUUAAACCACAUGCUCCACUGCUUGUGCGGGUCCCCGUCAAUUCUUUUGAGUUUCACCCUUGCGGGCGUACUCCCCAGGCGGCAUACUUAACGCGUUAGCUACGGCACAACUGGGGUUGAGUCCAGUUACACCAAGUAUGCAUCGUUUACGGCUAGGACUAC
rnacentral:misc_RNA from 1 species